AACCGAAUCCCCUUCUGCACUAGUUCAAAUGUGUGCUAGCUUGCGGAUAUCUACCUCUAUGGGAAUUCCCAACAAACUAGGGUUUCUGAGUUCAAUCUCUCUCUCUCUCUGUAUGUUCAUCACAACUCUCGAAAGUAUAUAUGUUGGUUUGAGAGGUUGAAGCUGCCAGCAUGAUCUGGUAAAUUACAAACCAGCUCCUCUAUAUAUACAUAUAUAUAUAUAUAUAUGCUCCAUCCAUUUUUUUUCAUCCCUCUACACACACACACACAAGCACAAAAUUAAAGCUCCUUUUUUCAAUCCUAAAUACUCAUGUUGGUGGUAGCUACACGAGUUAUACAUCAGUUCAUGGGGGCCUCUAAUUCAAUUAGAAUCAAAUUAUAGAGUUUGUGUGGGUGUAUAUACAUAUAUAUGGGUGGGAAAGAAACAAAAUAGUGGUGUGGUUCUUGAACAUAUGUUGCUGAAACUGAAAAAUCCUUUUAAUUAGGCUUCUUACUGGUUAUUGAAACUGGAAAUAUAGAAUUCUAUCAGGAAAACAAUUGGAUUUUAGAUCUUAUUAGAUACACACCUUCAUAUACAUUGAUACAUACAGAUAUAUCAGAUCAUCCUGCAGCUUCAAUCACCCAAUCACCAACAGGCAGCCAAUUUCAAUUCUCUCCCGACUCUGGAAUUGUUCAGGGUUAUAUAUGUUUAAUUUACAGAUUCAAGAUUGAUUUCUGCUGCAUGCAGAGGCAAGUUUGGUUUGCUGAUAUAGAGAUAACUUGGAAUGAAGAAAGGUCCUUUUUUUUUUUUCCUUUUUUGAGCUGAAGGAAUGAAGAAAGAUCGUCCAAAGGGAAAAAUCAGAAAGAAAAUUAAAAUUCAAACUGUUUCGCUCGAUGCACAAGUUUAUAUUACUUAAAACGUGUGUAAGUAGAAGACAAUGAUUAGUUUAAGAGUUUGUUUAAUGAAGAAAAGGAUUUGUACAAGGCAUUUUUCAGUGUAAAACCAGAUAAUAAUUAAGGCACAAGUUAAUUUUUUGUGUGUGAUA